rnacentral:piRNA from 1 species
UCUCCACUGAAGAGUUGAAGUUUUAUUUCU